rnacentral:lncRNA from 1 species
UGGAGGUGCAUCUUGGCGACGGGCACAGCAUUUCCUGGGCGUCUAAUUUGCGAGGCUUUGGAGGGGAAGGAAUUCAAGUCGCUCCCUUUUUCUUCAUUAGCCAUCAGUCACAGCGCACCCCCUCCCUGGCACCGCCCUGCGUCACACAUUCCUAUGGCUUCACUUUGGACUGGAGGCAGAGAGGCUGGCUGGAAGGACGGCCGGGUCGUCGUCACUCAGAAAAACAAGAGGGAAAGGGAACCAAACAGUUGCCAACCUACAGAGCCUCCAAGACCUUUUAUGACGGUGCAAAGUAGGUUCACCCCAACUUUUAUGAGAGGACUGUGAAGAAUAACUGCUAUCUGUUGAACAACGGCCAUGCUGAUUCUCCAACUCCUGCACUAGCCAGGCUUGGUCCUGCCACAGGGCCUUUGGCCUUUCCGCCUCUUUGGCUGGAAAUAUUCUUUCCAGAUACCCAUGUGACUAACUCCCCCUAUUAUUAUUUUUUUAAUUAGUCCGCC